rnacentral:rRNA from 1 species
AAAUUGAAGAGUUUGAUCAUGGCUCAGAUUGAACGCUGGCGGCAGGCCUAACACAUGCAAGUCGAACGGUAACAGGAAGCAGCUUGCUGCUUCGCUGACGAGUGGCGGACGGGUGAGUAAUGUCUGGGAAACUGCCUGAUGGAGGGGGAUAACUACUGGAAACGGUAGCUAAUACCGCAUAACGUCGCAAGACCAAAGAGGGGGACCUUCGGGCCUCUUGCCAUCGGAUGUGCCCAGAUG